AACGAACGCUGGCGGCAUGCCUAACACAUGCAAGUCGAACGGCACCUUCGUAUCUGGUUGCGCACACGGGCGGCACGCGGGGGAAGCUGCCCUUAUAUUCGGAAUACUACCCCGAAAGGGGUGCUAAUACCGGAAAAUGUCUUCGGACAAAAGAUUCGUCGCCUUUGGGUGGGCCGGCGAUGGUUUGGCUAGUUGGUAGUGUAAAAGCCUACGACGGCGACGCUCCAUAGCUGGGAUGAGAGGAUGGUCAGCGACACUGGGACUGAGACACGGCCGAGACUCUUAGGGGAGGGAGGAGUGGGUAAUACUGGACAAUGGGGUAAAUGCUGAUCCAGCUAUGCCGGGAGAGUGAUGAAGGUCUGAGGGUUGUAAAGCUCUUUUACACGGGAUGAUAAUGACAGUACCGGGAGAAUAAGCACCGGCUAACUUCGUG
rnacentral:rRNA from 1 species